CAGCCGCGGUAAUACGUAGGGUGCGAGCGUUAAUCGGAAUUACUGGGCGUAAAGCGUGCGCAGGCGGUUUCACAAGCUCGAUGUGAAAGCCCCGGGCUCAACCUGGGAAUUGCAUUGGAGACUGCAAGGCUAGAAUCUGGCAGAGGGGGGUAGAAUUCCACGUGUAGCAGUGAAAUGCGUAGAGAUGUGGAGGAACACCGAUGGCGAAGGCAGCCCCCUGGGUCAAGAUUGACGCUCAUGCACGAAAGCGUGGGGAGCAAAC
rnacentral:rRNA from 1 species